CAGGAAUUUAAUGUAGCAAGAAAGGUAUCCCACCACAGGAACUAUACAUGAAAAACACGUAUAUCAAGCCUUUUGUAGGUCACAAUACAGUUGAUAACUGACCAGCAAUGAUAGACCAACCAGUCGAGGUACAGCAGAUGGUUGCACUUGUUCUCCAAUGGCAGGUCCUUUCAGAUGCUUCUCCUGAAUGUCGAAGAAAGCUUCAUCGGUGUUGAAAGAUUGACCUAAGUGAGCUAGAGGAUAACCCUGAUGUUUUACAUCAUGUCCAUGAGGUUCAUUUCAAGUAACGACCUGAAGGCAGGAUAAAGAAUAUUCCUGUGUUUAUCAUUGAUAAGGGAGAUAACCUGUUUUGUUCAGUUGCUGUAUCUGAAGCUAAUCAAGGUUCUAGAAUGGAGAGUGUGUUAAGCAAAUGUGAACAGAAAUGUCAUGUUUCAGUUACACAAAAUAUCUCUAAUGAACCAGCUUAUAGCUCAUUACCACUCACCUAUUCCUUUCAGCUAAAAUCCUCCCUGUAGUACAUACCUCUGAUAUUCAGUUA